rnacentral:rRNA from 1 species
UGCCAGCCGCCGCGGUAAUACGGAGGGUGCAAGCGUUGUUCGGAAUUACUGGGCGUAAAGCGCGUGUAGGCGGCUUCGUUAGUCGGGUGUGAAAUCCCGGGGCCCAACCCCGGAACUGCACCCGAUACUGCGGAGCUAGAGUCCCGGAGAGGAUGGCGGAAUUUCCGGUGUAGAGGUGAAAUUCGUAGAUAUCGGAAGGAACACCAGUGGCGAAGGCGGCCAUCUGGACGGUACUGACGCUGAGGUACGAAAGCGUGGGGAGCGAACAGGAUUAGAUAC